rnacentral:rRNA from 1 species
GGCACGAUGGUCACUCCCAACCCCUGUGACAUACCAAUUGUUGCCUCGGCGGAUCAGCCCGCUCCCGGUAAAACGGGACGGCCCGCCAGAGGACCCCUAAACUCUGUUUCUAUAUGUAACUUCUGAGUAAAACCAUAAAUAAAUCAAAACUUUCAACAACGGAUCUCUUGGUUCUGGCAUCGAUGAAGAACGCAGCAAAAUGCGAUAAGUAAUGUGAAUUGCAGAAUUCAGUGAAUCAUCGAAUCUUUGAACGCACAUUGCGCCCGCCAGUAUUCUGGCGGGCAUGCCUGUUCGAGCGUCAUUUCAACCCUCAAGCCCCCGGGUUUGGUGUUGGGGAUCGGCGAGCCCUUGCGGCAAGCCGGCCCCGAAAUCUAGUGGCGGUCUCGCUGCAGCUUCCAUUGCGUAGUAGUAAAACCCUCGCAACUGGUACGCGGCGCGGCCAAGCCGUUAAACCCCCAACUUCUGAAUGUUGACCUCGGAUCAGGUAGGAAUACCCGCUGAACUUAAGCUACGAACGCGGGAGG